rnacentral:rRNA from 1 species
CCCUUAGAUGUUCUGGGCCGCACGCGCGCUACACUGAUGCAUUCAACGAGUUUUUCCUGGUCCGAGAGGAAUGGGUAACCUUUUGAAAGUGCAUCGUGCUAGGGAUAGACUAUUGCAAUUAUUGGUCUUCAACGAGGAAUUCCUAGUAGACGUAGUUCAUCAGACUGCAUCGAUUACGUCCCUGCCCUUUGUACACACCGCCCGUCGCACCUACCGAUUGAAUGACUCGGUGAAAAAUUGGGACCGUGAGUCUGUUUGCUUCAUUGCGAGUGGAUUGAUGGGAACUUUUUUAAACCUCGCCAUUUAGAGGAAGGUGAAGUCGUAACA